GGCGGUUCUUUAGCCAGUUAUAAAAAGAACUGGAGCUGCAAGCAAAAAUGUAUGUCAAAGCUGUAAUCAUCCUUCUGUUGGUCGUCAUAACAACGGGAUACCACCACUCGUACUCGGGGUACCACCACUCGUACUCGGGGUACUAUCCUGGUCGCUCGUACGGUCAGAGUUGCCAUGCCAGAUGUAGAAUGCACCACCAGACGUGUCUGCGUGAGACUGGCUGUGACUACAACACGGGAGGGUGCAUGGGCCAAUGUUCGUCUGCCUUUAAUUCCUGCUCGAGUAACUGUUCCAGACGCGGGCCAGGCCGAUAUAUUCGUUGACGCCACAUCCACCAGAAACAGUGGAGUGAUUACGGUGGUCGUCGAUUUAGAGUUAUCUCUCCCUAACUGCACAGUGACUUCCGGCAAAUCAGAAACGCACAAAUAACCAAGCAGAACAUUUAUCAAAGAGUAUAUAAUUUGAUAUUUGGCAUGUAUUCGUGAAUCAAAAUAAAUGGUACUGCUUUAA